rnacentral:tRNA from 1 species
GCUGGAUUAGCAUAGUGGUAGUGCCCUUCCUUGGUAUGGAAGUAGCCGGGGUUCGAUUCCCCGAUUCAGCU